rnacentral:tRNA from 1 species
GCCGAAGUGGUGGAAUUGGUAGACGCGCUAGUUUCAGGGACUAGUGAGAGCAAUCUCGUGGGAGUUCGAGUCUCCCCUUCGGCACCA